CUAUUGGAGUCCGAUUUAGCCAUGCUAGUCGUACGAGUUCACACUCGUGGCGCAUAGCUCAGUAACACGUGGCCAACCUACCCUUCAGCGGCGGACACCCUCGGGAAACUGAGGCUAAUCCGCCAUACCCCUCUCACGCUGGAACGCCGAGAGGCCGAAACGCUACGGCGCUGAAGGAUGAGGCUGCGGCCGAUUAGGUAGACGGUGGGGUAACGGCCCACCGUGCCCAUAAUCGGUACGGGUCGUGAGAGCGAGAGCCCGGAGACGGAAUCUGAGACAAGAUUCCGGGCCCUACGGGGCGCAGCAGGCGCGAAACCUUUACACUGCACGCCAGUGCGAUAAGGGGACUCCAAGUGCGAGGGCAUAUCGUCCUCGCUAUCCUGUACUGUAGGGUAGUACAGUAUCAAGAGCUGGGCAAGACCGGUGCCAGCCGCCGCGGUAAUACCGGCAGCUCAAGUGAUGGCCGAUCUUAUUGGGCCUAAAGCGUCCGUAGCUGGCCUCGCAAGUCCGUCGGGAAAUCCAUUAGCUCAACUAAUGGGCGUCCGGCGGAAACUACAAGGCUUGGGACCGGAAGGCUCGAGGGGUACGUCCGGGGUAGGAGUGAAAUCCCGUAAUCCCGAACGGACCACCGAUGGCGAAAGCACCUCGAGAAGACGGCUCCGACAGUGAGGGACGAAAGCUAGGGUCUCGAACCGGAUUAGAUACCGGGUAGUCCUAGCCGUAAACGAUGUUCGCUAGGUGUGNCACUGGCUACGAGCCAGUGCUGUGCCGUAGGGAAGCCGAGAAGCGAACCGCCUGGGAAGUACGUCUGCAAGGAUGAAACUUAAAGGAAUUGGCGGGGGAGCACUACAACCGGAGGAGCCUGCGGU
rnacentral:rRNA from 1 species